CGUGAGUCACAGAGUGUGCUCUGAGGGCUGGACCCGCACAGGCAGGGUGGUGGCUGUUUGUUCUCUCAGCCGGGAAAGUUUUUACUCUGGCUCAGCGCCUCACUCCCGUAGAUUCACCUAAAGUCCUAGGGGUUCUUGGAAUCCAAUCGUAAGGGCUGCUUUGCAUUGGUGACACUUUUCCGGGCCUCGUUUGCUCAGGCUCCGCCUGUGAACCUGGUGACUUCGCCACCCCAGUUCUCCAGGAACAGAGCAGGCUUUUCCACUGCAGGUUUCAGAACGGCUGGAGCCCCUUCCGGGGCCCUGGACCCUCCUGCCUGCCCAUGAGGUCUCAGAGAAAGCAAAAAUCACAGCUGGCUACUGAAGAAAAGCUGACACUGCCAGGUAAGCCAAGGGGGCUGCAGGACGAGGUCACCGGAGGAGCACAGGAGGGCAGGGGCCCGAGGGCCCCUGGGGUGCGCGCGUCCUGGGGCGCAGCUGCCCCCCACCCCAUCGGCGGUCUCGGGAGCGGGGACCGCCGGAGCCCACCCGCUCCCCGCGUCUGGACGGGAGGAAAAGCGCCCCACGAGGUCCCCACUCAGCUCGGUAAGGUCAGAGGUGCAAGCGAGUCAGCGCUCACGCGCGGAAAGGCGUGUGAAGAAAGCGGGGCUCCGUCCGCUCCACCCGAGGGCACCGGUCACCGCCACCGCCCCAGAGGUCUCUGCUGCCCUGCCUGAGGCGUCUCGCACUGGACCGCGAUAAACAGAAGAAUGCAAGUGUAAAGACACACAAAAAAGAAACAGACACACACACACAAACACGCACACACAAACACCCUCAGAGAGAGGGGGAGAGAGAGACAGAGAGGAACAGACAGAGAGACAGAGACAGAGGGACGUGGGGGGGGGCCGAGAGAGAGAGAUUACCUGCUGUAUUCACAGUGCGAUUCCUUUUGAGGAAAACAUAAAGCCAUUUCUGAACUUUGCAACCAAAAUCUCAACCGCAGUUUCCUUGGUUAGUAAGUUACUAUAAUUUUUAUUUUGUUCUUUCCAUUAUACUGUAUUUUCUUUUUCUUUUCUUUCUUUCUUUCUUUCUUUCUUUCUUUCUUUCUUUCUUUCUGGUCUCAGACUCACAGUGAUCCUCCUGCCUCAGCCUCCAGAGUGCUGGGAUUACAGGCCUGAGCCGCCGUUCCUGGCUUAUUUUUCAAAUUUUCCAAAAAAUAAAAAAAAAUCACCACAUCUGCUAAUUAUUGAGAUACUUGGCCUUGUUUUUAAACGUUCUAAUUUUCAUCGUAAGGAAGAGUCUGUUUCUGUGCAGCCUCCACGUGAAGAGGAAUAAAAACAGGAUUAGAGCUAAAAGGGAUAAAGGGAGCCAGGGAGGGAGCCGCGGAGGUGAGCGCCCCUUCUGCUGUCACCCUCGUGAAGCCUGGGUAGGAAGAAGUCCCUGCCUGGGGAAAGUGGGGUGGGAGGAGUUUCAGUCACCGAAGUCUUCACUGCUGCAAGAGCCAAGCUAACUCAGUAAGCUGCCCACCGGUGUGUGUUCAGUCUGGGGAGCCUUGAGUUCCAUUCCAUUUUGUAUUUCUACUUCAUCUGUACUUCCUGUUAACCAAAACCCUUGGAAUUCUCACAAUACAAGAUGCCCUUGGGUGAGGGGAGGGGGACCCAGCUCCCUGGCUUGCUGCCCACUUCCGAUGCCCAGGUGGACCGGUGGCCACGUGGGAGUAGUGGCUUCUGUCCUGUCCCCAGCAGCUGGGGUCCAGUUGUGGGCUCCGGCUCAGUUGCAGAAAAACACUUUCUGGGGCUCCUGUCAGGGACGCUGACUCUGGACAGCCACACCUGAGACCCACUGCCGCUGGGGAGAGGCAAAUGUAGAUGUUUCUGUUGCUCAGGUCAUGGUGAUUGAGUAUUCGGAUGGACUUGUUUUUAGGACUUUAGUGUUGUUGAAAUCGUAGAAGAAUUGGAUCUAAUCCAGCAGUCAAAAAAAAAAAAAAAAAAAAAGCAAAGAUUCUCACCCCCUGUCCUGCCCCAGGUUAAGCUGAGUUCAGAAAAGGGGGGAAAUUCAGAGUCCACAGCUUGGCCCCUACAGCAAUGGUGGGCAUUCUUCUGCCACUGUGUCCAUGGAGGUGACCAAUGUGCAGCCAGAUGUGAAGAUGUUUCUGAGACAACUGUGUGAGCGCAGCAGAGCUGGAAGCAGCAGCAAUAGAGACGCCGCUGCUGGGCAGGUGCAGACCAGGCUGCCCCCUGCUCACCGCACUACUGGGGACCGGGAACUCACCGUGGCUAAUUUGGAUAGUUCCCUGAGCGAUGGAGGCUUGGGAUUAUGGUGUCACCCUUUGGAGACUUCCCAUUAAUUCUUGCGAUGGGCCAUCCUCUCCCACCAACUAAGGGUAAACUAAAACUAUUAAGAUGAAAAAGAACACUCCAAAAUAAGAUCCUUCUUAGCAUAAAAUCAUCUCCACACUCUUGAGUCAUCCCAGGAUUAUUUGCUGCCCGCAGUGUCUUGGUGCCAUGGACUUCUGAAGCUUCCCCAGCCCCUCCUAUCAUGGCAUGCCCCUGUUGCAUUGCACACACCCAAUACACAGCAAUUGGUUUGGAGUAUCUAGACUUUUGCCCAUCCUGAGCCACUGACCUCCAGGCCUUCAUCAUGCAUUACUAAAUUUAUCUCUGUUUCUUAUUUUAUCCUUCAUAUACCCCUCACACAGGCAGUUGGAGAUCUUGACCCGGUCCCUGAUACCACCCCACAACAUCUCCAGCCCCAGCCCUUGGUUCUUAGCACCUCCUGCCAAUCCCUGCAGUGCUUGAGUAAAGAAAGUGGCAGAUGGACUUUUCUCCCCAGUACAGGAAAGAAAAACCAUACCUAUUUCUUUUGAAUACAUCCAGAUUCUAUCAGGUGAUCCUGAGUUACAGAGGAUUGUAAGUCCAGCCUCCUGCUUUAUCUCCAGGUUUCUGUGGAUGGUUCCAUCUGUCCUGAAAUCAGAAUUGAAAGCUCUCUGGGUCUCCUGGAGCCACCGCAGGAAAUUUUGUGAUGCUGAAAGCAGAUGUGAUCCUAAUCAGUCUCCUGUAGAAUCCCUGGGGGCCUGGAGGGCCAUGUCACACUCUGGCGUCCUCUGCAGACAACAGGGUUGUGCUCUGAAUAGACAGAAUGUGUCUCUUUUGAUGCAGCUAGUUUGCCAAGGUACAUCUCAACAGGUACUGAGCCAGGAGGACGUCCUGGGACCCUGUCAUCUCCUGAGUCAUGGACAGAGUGACAAGUGCUGCCUGCCUUUGGAAGAGCAAAUAGUAUAGGUUAUAUUAGUAAACACGGAUGUUUGUAUCUGAUUUCAUAAUGUUAUCAUGAAGUGGUAAGUGUGACUUUCACAUUAGAGGGAGAAUGUGCUCUCGGAGCCCAGCAGCAUUGGAGGUGUCCUUGGGAGUUUGGGGUUGUUAUUUUGUUUUGUUUUGAAUUUUUGUCCUACAGGAAUUAUGGUAAAGUUCAUUCUAGGUGUGGAAGAAACCUGAACUGUUUUAUCAGUAAAGUAAGUGCGCAUGGGUGAUGGUGAAUGUGUGUCCUGCAAAUGGAAAAGCAAGUUUUAUUCUGUUAACUUACUCACCUGGGAACCAGCGUGGUUCUUUCUAAUCCGCUCUUGUUCUCCAAAAAACGCUUGGCUGAAAGUUGCCAAAGUGGAGAUAGACCAGUGACGAUCAGAUGUCAUCAGGGAUCGUGAAUUCACCUUAUUCUACAGUGUGGAGACAGCAAAUUUGAAAACUCACUGAUCCAAAAGAAGCAUUUCCAUAUAUGUGAACCCUUCCACGAUCCUCCAAAAUCUUGCCUUCAGAGACGUGGAGCUCCAGACCCCAUGGGAUCAAGAGUUUCAGAUCAGUCUUGGCAACUCAGUGGGAUCCUGCCUCAAAAUUAAAAUCCAUUUUAUUUCAAAGAUUAAAAAAAGAAGACGAAGAAGAAAAACAACUGCAACAAAAUUUCAGAACACAUCAGUCAGGGGGCAACAGUGGUGGGCAGCUAUUCUGAAGAUAACAUGAAACAGUACUGUAGCCAUUGCUGAUUUUCUGUCAUCUUGUUUUGAAGUUCUGUAUUACUCAUUGUUUUCUUUCCUUUUUUUUUUUUUUUUUGCUUUUAUUCUCUUUAAAAUAAAAUUAAGAACAAACAAAAAAAAAA